rnacentral:rRNA from 1 species
GCGUGGAGCAUGUGUUAAUUCGAAGCAACGCGAAGAACCUUACCAGGCCUGACAUGCAGAGAACUUCCAGAGAUGGAUUGGUGCCUUCGGGAACUCUGACACAGGUGCUGCAUGGCUGUCGUCAGCUCGUGUCGUGAGAUGUUGGGUUAAGUCCCGUAACGAGCGCAACCCUUGUCCUUAGUUACCAGCACGUUAUGGUGGGCACUCUAAGGAGACUGCCGGUGACAAACCGGAGGAAGGUGGGGAUGACGUCAAGUCAUCAUCGGCCCUUACGGCCGUGGGCUACACACGUGCUACAAUGGUAGGUACAAAGGGUUGCCAAGCCGCGAGGUGGAGCUAAUCCCAUAAAACCGAUCGUAGUCCGGAUCGCAGUCUGCAACUCGACUGCGUGAAGUCGGAAUCGCUAGUAAUCGUGAAUCAGAAUGUCACGGUGAAUACGUUCCCGGGCCUU